CUGCUCACAUGAGCAGCACGUUUAUUAAAACUGGGAUGAUAUGAAGAAGAUUAGCAUGGCCCAGACUGACACAAAUUUAUGAAAUGGAACAUUGUCUU
rnacentral:snRNA from 1 species